AUGACUGACCACACACUCCAGCACAGUAGGUGGCAGCAUGCACCUUUAACGUUUGUUUGUAAACCGUCAUUAUAUCAUAGAAGAAGAAGACACUUGACUGGUGAGAAAAUUGUAUUUUUUUAUACGGCCGGCCGAGAGAGCUAUGGUGGAGUGUUUCAAGAGAGUACUUUCAGGUCCAAACUGCUGCAGAAGACCCUCGAUUUACCACCACCAGCUGUCCUGCCAGAUACCACAACUCCAAGUCCUCAAGUUUUCCAGGGAGAUGCAGUUCUCCCCCUAUAUGAGAACAGUGUGCGCCAUAAUCAAGGUGUCCAUGUCAAUAAAUCUGAUUGACCUGGUACUACCACUCUUGUCGGAGAGUCAGAGAAUGCAUUCGGCAUCAUGGCUGCAAGGAUGAGGAUUGUUGGACGCACAGACUCUGUUCAUUGUGUGCACUGAACCAGUCAUUUUAAUCUGGUUCAUUAAUAAAAUGAAACCUGAUUAUGGUACGUCUGUGUGCAGUAAUUUAGAUUAGAUUGAACUACACAAGUAGAACAAAGCCUGUAAAGUCUGUAGCACUCAGCUCUUCUGUACGUUGUCAGCACUUGAUCUAAUAGAAUGUAUUGAAACACCUUGAAGAAAUGCAGAGCUUUUUUCAGCACACAAAUAAACCUUUAUUCUUGCUUCUGAAAGUAAACCACAAUACAAACGUGUCUGCUGAGAACAGACAUGUCAACAACAAAAGGGUCAAAUAUAAAGUGUCAAGAGUGAAGACACAAAUAUUUAUGAGCAAUAUAAAUAUUUCGGGAACAAUAGUACAAAAGAAAGUGUCUGUUAUGAACAGACAUGUAAAUAACAAAAGUAUCUAUUGAAUAAACGUAUCUAGGGUCUGACUCCUGAGCUGUCUGAUCAAAACAACACAACAAGUUGUGGUCCCAGUCGUUCGGUCCAUGUCCUCUUCUUAAAGUCAUGCCCAAACUCAUGCAGCUGGUGAUCGAAUUCCUCCCGGAGUUCUGGCGAGAGUUCAUCCAUGAAAUCAGCUAUAGGUGCCAGGACCCGGUGGAGAGGAUGAGAAGAGGGGGGAAAUUAGGAGUGUCUGGAGAGCAGUGUGCAUGGUGAGGAGAGGAAGAAAAAGGACAUCAGGAGAGAGAAAAGGGGAUCAGACUAAAGGAGGAGAGUCUGAAAUGAUCAUUUAUUAACCUCUGGGACAAGCUGGUGGCUCGGUGCAUGACGUUCUCCUGAUCUUGAGAUCGGUCUUCAAUCAUCUGCAAUGUCUUUGCGAAUGAUGUGUCAAGGGCUGAGUCUGCAGCUCUUUUCUCCUUUCUUCUCACACUUCUGCUUCUUCUGCUGCUGCUCUGUGGGAUUGGUGAGGAGCUAGCCAGUGGAGUAGGUCUUGGAGGUGGGUCCAGGAUAGAGCUUCCCAGGUCCUGCAUGGACAUUGUUUCUAAUUCUGCACUGCAGCUCAGUGUGGGAGAUGGGCUGGGGGCCAAUCACCAGUCAGUACUGGGGCAGAGGUAGUGCUUGAGGCUGGUGAACAGGCAGUGCUGGGACACAGAGAACAAAACCAGGUGCUGUCUCCAUUCACUGGUGUUUGUGCCUUGAAAAAAAAGUAGAGGGCUAUUUAGUACACAUAUCCAAAAUAUUAAUGAACAUCAAAUAUAAUUAACAUAGAUUACAAUAGACUAUAUAAUGUUGCAAACAUUUGAUCAGAGUUGAGUGGGCCUGGCCUAGCUACUCAACUUUGCUCGAAUGUUUGCAACAUUUUGACUAGCUGGAUCAUGCUACCAAACUUUGACUUGGUGUUCCCAAUGUGGGAAGCUUAUGUUUGAUAAAAAGUUGUAAAGAUCUUUAGUCUGGUUGGCUUGCUUUCCCUGCAUGAGUAUGCUGCUAGGCUAGCAAGUCACUAGCCCGCCAAGUAGCUAGCGCUAGCUGGCUAACUAUUGUUAGCAAAACAUGGCUCCUCGUCGAAUACAAAUCAAAAAUCAAACAACAUACCC
rnacentral:lncRNA from 13 species